rnacentral:pre_miRNA from 1 species
UGUUUGCACCCCCUCUCUAAUCCUUGGAACCUAGGUGUGAGUGAUGUUUCAGUGCAACACACCUGUUCAAGGAUUCAAAGAGGCUGAGCC